rnacentral:rRNA from 1 species
GAUGAACGCUGGCGGCGUGCCUAAUACAUGCAAGUCGAGCGAACGGACGAGAAGCUUGCUUCUCUGAUGUUAGCGGCGGACGGGUGAGUAACACGUGGAUAACCUACCUAUAAGACUGGGAUAACUUCGGGAAACCGGAGCUAAUACCGGAUAAUAUUUUGAACCGCAUGGUUCAAAAGUGAAAGACGGUCUUGCUGUCACUUAUAGAUGGAUCCGCGCUGCAUUAGCUAGUUGGUAAGGUAACGGCUUACCAAGGCAACGAUGCAUAGCCGACCUGAGAGGGUGAUCGGCCACACGGGAACUGAGACACGGUCCAGACGCCUGCGGGAGGCAGCAGUAGGGAAUCGUCCGCAGUGGGCGAAAGCCUGACGGAGCAACGCCGCGUGAGUGAUGAAGGUCUUCGGAUCGGAAAACUCUGUUAUGAGGGAAGAACAUAUGUGUAAGUAACUGUGCACAUCUUGACGGUACCUAAUCAGAAAGCCACGGCUAACUACGUG